rnacentral:misc_RNA from 1 species
GUAGGUGAACCUGCGGAAGGAUCAUUAAUGAAUUAAAAACGAGGGGGGAGUUGUUGCUGGCCGCGAGGUAUCGUGCACGCUCUCCUUUUGUUCAUUCAUCUCACACCUGUGCACCUAUCGUAGGCUGAGCAAUCGGCUUAUGUAUAUUUAUACACCCUGUAAUGUCUUACGAAUGUAUGCAAGGCGCUUGCGUCUUUUAAAACUUGUACAACUUUCAACAACGGAUCUCUUGGCUCUCGCAUCGAUGAAG